rnacentral:rRNA from 1 species
CCUACGGGAGGCAGCAGUGGGGAAUUUUGGACAAUGGGCGAAAGCCUGAUCCAGCAAUGCCGCGUGUGUGAAGAAGGCCUUCGGGUUGUAAAGCACUUUUGACGGGAACGAAACAGCGCUUGCUAAUACCGAGCGCGAAUGACGGUACCCGCAGAAUAAGCACCGGCCAACUACGUGCCAGCAGCCGCGGUAAGACGUAGGGUGCAAGCGUUAAUCGGAAUUACUGGGCGUAAAGCGUGCGCAGGCGGUUUUGUAAGACAGAUGUGAAAUCCCCGGGCUCAACCUGGGAACUGCAUUUGUGACUGCAAGGCUAGAGUGCGUCAGAGGGAGGUGGAAUUCCGCGUGUAGCAGUGAAAUGCGUAGAGAUGCGGAGGAACACCGAUGGCGAAGGCAGCCUCCUGGGAUGACACUGACGCUCAUGCACGAAAGCGUGGGGAGCAAACAGGAUUAGAUACCCUGGUAGUCCACGCCCUAAACGAUGUCAACUAGUUGUCGGGAAUUCAUUUUCUUGGUAACGCAGCUAACGCGUGAAGUUGACCGCCUGGGGAGUACGG